AGCGAAUCGGAGGGAGCUUGCUCCCAAAGAUUAGCGGCGGACGGGUGAGUAACACGUGGGCAACCUGCCUGUAAGACUGGGAUAACUUCGGGAAACCGGAGCUAAUACCGGAUAAUCCUUUUCCUCUCAUGAGGAAAAGCUGAAAGACGGUUUCGGCUGUCACUUACAGAUGGGCCCGCGGCGCAUUAGCUAGUUGGUGAGGUAACGGCUCACCAAGGCCACGAUGCGUAGCCAACCUGAGAGGGUGAUCGGCCACACUGGGACUGAGACACGGCCCAGACUCCUACGGGAGGCAGCAGUAGGGAAUCUUCCGCAAUGGACGAAAGUCUGACGGAGCAACGCCGCGUGAGCGAAGAAGGCCUUCGGGUCGUAAAGCUCUGUUGUCAGGGAAGAACAAGUGCCGGAGUAACUGCCGGCACCUUGACGGUACCUGACCAGAAAGCCACGGCUAACUACGUGCCAGCAGCCGCGGUAAUACGUAGGUGGCAAGCGUUGUCCGGAAUUAUUGGGCGUAAAGCGCGCGCAGGCGGUCCUUUAAGUCUGAUGUGAAAGCCCACGGCUCAACCGUGGAGGGUCAUUGGAAACUGGGGGACUUGAGUGCAGAAGAGGAGAGUGGAAUUCCACGUGUAGCGGUGAAAUGCGUAGAGAUGUGGAGGAACACCAGUGGCGAAGGCGACUCUCUGGUCUGUAACUGACGCUGAGGCGCGAAAGCGUGGGGAGCGAACAGGAUUAGAUACCCUGGUAGUCCACGCCGUAAACGAUGAGUGCUAAGUGUUUAGAGGGUUUCCGCCCUUUAGUGCUGCAGCAAACGCAUUAAGCACUCCGCCUGGGGAGUACGGCCGCAAGGCUGAAACUCAAAGGAAUUGACGGGGGCCCGCACAAGCGGUGGAGCAUGUGGUUUAAUUCGAAGCAACGCGAAGAACCUUACCAGGUCUUGACAUCCUCUGACAACCCUAGAGAUAGGGCGUUCCCCUUCGGGGGACAGAGUGACAGGUGGUGCAUGGUUGUCGUCAGCUCGUGUCGUGAGAUGUUGGGUUAAGUCCCGCAACGAGCGCAACCCUUGAUCUUAGUUGCC
rnacentral:rRNA from 1 species